rnacentral:rRNA from 1 species
AUGCGCCUGGUCAGAUCUGACGCAGCAACGCCGCGUGGGUGAUGAAGUCUUCGGACUGUAAAACCCUGUCGUCAGGGACGAAAGCAUGGGAGUUAAUAGCUCUUAUGCUUGACGGUACCUGGAGAGGAAGCCCCGGCUAACUCUGUGCCAGCAGCCGCGGUAAUACAAAGGGGGCAAGCGUUAUUCGGAAUUAUUGGGCGUAAAGGGCGCGUAGGCGGUUUUUUAAGUCAGAUGUGUAAUCCCCGAGCUCAACUUGGGAACUGCAUCUGAGACUGGAAGGCUAGAGUACUGGAGAGGGUGGUGGAAUUCCUCGUGUAGCGGUGAAAUGCGUANAGAUNAGGAGGAACACCAGUGGCGAAGGCGGCCACCUGGACAGUAACUGACGCUGAGGCGCGAAAGUGUGGGUAGCAAACAGGAUUAGAUACCCUGGUAGUCCACGCUGUAAACGAUGAACACUUGGUGUGGAGGGAGUUGACCCCUUCCGUGCCGGAGCUAACGCGUUAAGUGUUCCCCCUGGGGAGUACGGUCCCAAGGCUGAAAGUCAAAUGA